AGUGAACGCUGGCGGUAUGCCUAACACAUGCAAGUCGAACGGCAGCACAGUAAGAGCUUGCUCUUACGGGUGGCGAGUGGCGGACGGGUGAGGAAUACAUCGGAAUCUACUUUUUCGUGGGGGAUAACGUAGGGAAACCUACGCUAAUACCGCAUACGACCUACGGGUGAAAGCAUGGGAUCUUCGGACCUUGCGCGAUUGAAUGAGCCGAUGUCGGAUUAGCUAGUGGGCGGGGUAAAGGCCCACCAAGUCGACGAUCCGUAGCUGGUCUGAGAGGAUGAUCGGCCACACUGGAACUGAGACACGGUCCAGACUCCUACGGGAGGCAGCAGUGGGGAAUAGUGGGCAAUGGGCGGAAGCCUGAUCCAGCCGUAGCGCGUGGGUGAAGAAGGCCUUCGGGUUGUAAAGACCUUUUGUUGGUAAAGAAAAGCAGCAGGUUAAUACGCCGCUGUUGUGACGGUACCCAAAGAAUAAGCACCGGCUAACUUCGUG
rnacentral:rRNA from 1 species